rnacentral:tRNA from 2 species
GCGCCCGUAGCUCAGUUGGAUAGAGCAACUGGCUACGAACCAGUAGGUCGGAGGUUCGACUCCUUCCGGGCGCACCA